ACUCCUACGGGAGGCAGCAGUGGGGAAUAUUGCACAAAUGGGGCGCAAGCCUGAUGCAGCCAUGCCGCGUGUGUGAAGAAGGCCUUCGGGUUGUAAAGCACUUUCAGUCGUGAGGAAGGUAGUGUAGUUAAUAGCUGCAUUAUUUGACGUUAGCGACAGAAGAAAGCACCGGCUAACUCCGUGCCAGCAGCCGCGGUAAUACGGAGGGUGCGAGCGUUAAUCGGAAUUACUGGGCGUAAAGCGCAUGCAGGUGGUUUGUUAAGUCAGAUGUGAAAG
rnacentral:rRNA from 1 species